GUGUUAGAUGUUAGUAAAAUGAUUGUCAGCCUGUGAGAUGAGCAAAUCUGAUCUGAUGCAGGUUGGACAAUACUUAAGAAAGAAUUGUGCUAUUAAAUGAAGAGGUGUACUAGUGAAGAUUAAUGGUGUCUGGACUGGAGGAGGAAAGGCUGCUUUAAACAGGAUGCUUUAAUUCUGUCACGUCCUAUGGCAGACCCAAAAAAAGAAGAUGAUGUCUCCUUGGAGCUGGUAAAGAGUGAAUAAUGGAAGAAAGGACUCAAAUCUGAGUACAUACUUCAAGAAAGCAAGGAAAAAGAUGGCCACUGGGAGCCCCUUUGGCUAAUGACCUGUAGGAGAUGUGAUGACUGAUUAGUUUUUUAGGUUUUCUUUUUAUACAUUACCAUUCAUGACUUUAAAAAAUUUAUUAAAUGCCUGUUGUCUAGCAUCAGCUUUAGUUAGCAAAGCAUAAUUCAGAGAAGAGGAAUGUGGAAAGUUUUAGUAAUAAACUGACCCAUGGUUUUCAGCAACCAUAGAACAGCAGUCAUCACUGUGACAACCAAGAUAAAAGACCCUGACAGGAAUCCUUAAACACUAAGGUGAGACUCAAAAUUUCCUGCAGGAUAAGGAGAAGCUUGAUUUAUUUCUUUUAUUUUUAAAUAUUUUUUAGUUAUAG